rnacentral:rRNA from 1 species
AAAAUUUCUGCCCUAUCAACUUUCGAUGGUAGGAUAGUGGCCUACCAUGGUGGCAACGGGUAACGGGGAAUUAGGGUUCGAUUCCGGAGAGGGAGCCUGAGAAACGGCUACCACAUCCAAGGAAGGCAGCAGGCGCGCAAAUUACCCAAUCCCGACACGGGGAGGUAGUGACAAUAAAUACUGAUACGGGGCUCUUUUGGGUCUCGUAAUUGGAAUGAGUACAAUCUAAAUCCCUUAACGAGGAACAAUUGGAGGGCAAGUCUGGUGCCAGCAGCCGCGGUAAUUCCAGCUCCAAUAGCGUAUAUUAAAGUUGUUGCAGUUAAAAAGCUCGUAGUUGAACCUUGGGUCUGGCUGGCCGGUCCGCCUNACCGCGAGUACUGGUCCGGCUGGACCUUUCCUUCUGGGGAAUCCCAUGGCCUUCACUGGCUGUGGGUGGAACCAGGACUUUUACUGUGAAAAAAUUAGAGUGUUCAAAGCAGGCCUUUGCUCGAAUACAUUAGCAUGGAAUAAUAGAAUAGGACGUGCG